rnacentral:rRNA from 1 species
UAUUGGUCAAUGGACGCAAGUCUGAACCAGCCAAGUAGCGUGCAGGAUGACGGCCCUCCGGGUUGUAAACUGCUUUUAGUUGGGAAUAAAAGGGGGCUCGUGAGCCCCGUAUUGUAUGUACCAUCAGAAAAAGGACCGGCUAAUUCCGUGCCAGCAGCCGCGGUAAUACGGAAGGUCCGGGCGUUAUCCGGAUUUAUUGGGUUUAAAGGGAGCGUAGGCCGGCUUUUAAGUCAGCUGUGAAAGUCCGCGGCUCAACCGUGGAAUUGCAGCUGAAACUGGAGGCCUUGAGUGCACACAGGGAUGCCGGAAUUCAUGGUGUAGCGGUGAAAUGCUUAGAUAUCAUGAAGAACUCCGAUCGCGAAGGCAAGUGUCCGGGGUGCAACUGACGCUGAGGCUCGAAAGUGCGGGUAUCAAACAGG